GCUCAUGACGGUACCUGAAGAAUAAGCACCGGCUAACUACGUGCCAGCAGCCGCGGUAAUACGUAGGGUGCAAGCGUUAAUCGGAAUUACUGGGCGUAAAGCGUGCGCAGGCGGUUUUGUAAGACUGUCGUGAAAUCCCCGGGCUCAACCUGGGAAUGGCGAUGGUGACUGCAAGGCUAGAGUUUGGCAGAGGGGGGUAGAAUUCCACGUGUAGCAGUGAAAUGCGUAGAUAUGUGGAGGAACACCGAUGGCGAAGGCAGCCCCCUGGGUCAAAACUGACGCUCAUGCACGAAAGCGUGGGGAGCAAACAGGAUUAGAUACCCUGGUAGUCCACGCCCUAAACGAUGUCUACUAGUUGUCGGGUCUUAAUUGACUUGGUAACGCAGCUAACGCGUGAAGUAGACCGCCUGGGGAGUACGGUCGCAAGAUUAAAACUCAAAGGAAUUGACGGGGACCCGCACAAGCGGUGG
rnacentral:rRNA from 1 species